ACUCAUCCUCCACGCUGUCUGCAGGGGUCAGUGGGGAGUGGGGACAGCCACGCCUCAGGCCCGGCCCCCUCGAACCCUCUUCAAAAACUACCGACCCAACCAUCAUCCUCCCCAGCUUUGACACCGGAGACCAGUCUGCCAGUUCCCUGGACCCGAACGGAGGACAUCAAGGCAAGGAGAGAAGACGUAUGGCUUACUCUCUGAUGGUGAAAUGAUCUUCAACUUUGAAGCAAUAACAGACCUUUGAGUGUUCCUGCUUCUGUCCCUCAAGAACCCACCACCUUCCCAAGCUUUGGGUAUGGAGUUCAUGGGUAUACCCUUGGGGAACUCUAGGAACAACCAAACAACAAUCCUAUACACAAAGAGGCACAGCCCCACAACCUGUCCCCCUCAGGCACAGUCACAUUCACCAUUUCACAAAGCCAAACACCCACCUUCUCACAUACCCAGGCUCACACAGUCAUAUGCUUUUCCUUUCUCACCGAUGAACGCAUCUCUCUCUCUGUAUCUCUCACACACUGAGUCCACACACACUCUGUAAACUACAUGUGCAACAGUGGAGGUGUGGAGAGUCACACACAUCUUCAGAGCUGUUGUGGGCUCCUGGCUCCAAAAGGACUCCCCAGGAAUCUGGUCAUUUCUUAGGAUCCCUGGAACCUCUGUCCUCUAUUCCAGAUACCCUUACCUGUCUUCAGACCUCUUAUGCCCCCCAGAUUCUCCUCAUCUUAUACCCCAGUCCUCCCAUGCAGUACUCCUCCUCACCUCUCCAAACACCCUGCCCCUGGCUCUCUCUCACCUUUCUCUGACACCCAGUCCCCCAGAUACCCUCCUCACUUCUCCAGAUGCCCUAUCCAAUCACUAACCUGCUCACUUCUGUCCCAGUCAUAACAUCAGAGUAAUUCCCACCCCAACACUGCAGGGAGGUGUCCCUCCAGCCAGCAGCCCAGACACCUGGGUUACCUUCCAAGGACACAGGCUCAAAGAGGCCAAACUGCUCCAGGACCUUGACAAACAGAACGAGGACCACAAGCACAGCAACCAUUUCCAGCCCUUCCAGGUUCAUUGUGGGCGUGGGGCAUGGCCCCCACCAGCUGAGCCUGACAACAACUGCCCUCCCCACACCACCUCCCCCUUAGGCUCCCCAGCCUGAGUAAGACCGCCUGCAGACUCCCUCCCCUGUUCCCUCCCUGGAUCUCCUCCCUCUCCCCCCUCCCCCGCCUCUGCCCCACAAGCCUCCCAGCCACAGCCUCUUCCUCAUCCAGCCUAUGGACUGGAUCUCCUCCUCGGCAGCCUUUUGAGUGAAGGAUAUGGACCAAGAUGGGUCAGGCCAGAGGAGGAGGCAGUGACCUGCCUCUAUCCCUAAGAACAGCUUCCUCCAAACACCCUGUGGCUGUUCUGUGCCAAAGGAAGGGGGUAGAGGAAGGGGGGGUGUGCUUAGGGAGAAGGCAGGGAAGGGUGCUGUGUGCUUGUGAGAAACUAUGAGCUGCACGUGUAUAAGAAAUAGAUGCACGGUCACAAUAUGUUCUGGGUGUCUGGGUGUUUUCUCGGUAUAUAUUCCUGUUUGUCUGUGCGGGGUAUAUGUGUCUCUUUUGUGUGUCUGGGUAUUUGUUUACACAUGAUUGUGCAUCUGUUUAUUAGGUAUGUGUCUUGUGACCUGAGUGUCUGUGGUAUGUGUGUGUGAGAGGGUUUUGGAGCACUUCUGAGUAUAUACAGCAUAUGAGGUGUCUGUGUUUUAGUAAGGAGUUGGGUCUGAAGAUUGGUAGUAUGGAUGUGUCCUAUAAUUAGGAGUAUGAGUCUCUGGUGGUUGUGUAAUUGUAUCUGCAUGCAACUGUAUGAGAAUAUAAGGGGAAGAAGAUAGUGACCUUUCCUGUCAGGAGGACACCACCACCAUCGAUCAUGGUUGCCAUGGAGACUGUGAGGGGGAAGCAUCUCUUUCCACAGACCACAGACAGGGAAACUGAGGCCCAAGGGAGGUUAGGAUUAGGUCCAAUAGCCAGGGCAGGAGAAAGGCCACUUAGCCAUAUCACAACCCCCUGGAAAGGGAACUUACUGCAGCUGCUUUUGGGAACAAGAGACUCAAGCUCCUUGGGAGAGGAGGAGGGACUGUGCUCUUCCCUUCCUCCAGGCUGGGGCCUCUCAAGGGAGCUGCCAAAGCCCUGCCAACUCCUUGGGAACUGUUAUUGAGCUCAUGGAGAGGCCCAGGAUAGGAAGGAAGUCCAAACCCUCCAAGGGAGCCACCCAUGCCUACCCUCUCUAGCAUUCCUGUAGCCAUUCCCCCAUUUUCCCAGGUCCUUGCUGGUGGUGGUUGUGGGGUGUGUGUCUGUGUGUGUGUGUCUAUGUGUUUCAGUGGUCAGGGUAGGGGUGGGGAUGGGGAGAGACCUGCAGAAACAGUGAGCCGGAAGAUAAGAGCCUGAGUUACUGCCACAGUUGGCUAACCUUGAGUACUCACUGAACGCUAGAUUAUAUUCUAUGUGCUUACAGACAUUAUUAUAUUGGAUUUUCACAAUUAACCUGUGAAAGAGGUACUGUUAUCCUCACAUUAUAGGCAGUGAAACUAAGGCAACAGAAUGUUAAGCAAGUCUCCAAGAUCAGUGUCAGAACCUCAAUUUAACCCAGUCUGACUCUGAGCCUGUGCUCUAAACCACCACACUAAACUGUCUUUCUUAGCUCACUCACCCAGGAGGCUCAGUUUAGGAGAACUGAUCCAGAGGGAGCCCUUGCCCCUUGUCCAGCUCUGGGAUGAGUGUCUUAGCCCCCAUUGUGGGGUAGGUGGGGCCAGUUCCUAAGGUUCAUUUGAGGUUCCCUGAUCUGCAGUUCUACAGGACUACCACUGGGGGGUCAGGCUUCCAUCUCAUAUCUUAACCCCUUCCCUCUCAUUCCACCUCCCGAAAUUUAUGGAACAUGUGGAAAGGACUGGGAAGGAGGGAACACCACAGGUAGGCUUGCUUGAUCCCCAGACUGCCCCUCCAAUCCCUCCUCUGGAAAGAAGUCAAGUCAGGGACUGCUUUUGGUUUCUCAAACAAUUGUUUAAAAAAGACACAGGCCAAACAUGGUCACUUCUGUUCAGCCAAGUCACCAAACCAGGGCCUAAAACUUAAACAUGAUUACAGUUUCAACUUCCCCCAAAAAUGUCAUCAGGCAGGAAUUUUCUGAUAAGUGUCAUUAAGAUAAUCCAUCACGUGCACCUUCUCCACCUUCUGUAAAAGGUCAUGUGUGGUGGUGUAGGUAAAAUUGUAAUAUUUCCAGAAUAUCUCGCCUGGCUUUAGUACAUCUGCAUAUCAACAGGCUCUCAAAGGUGGAGAGAAGUAUGGCUUUAGUGCAUUUGCAUCAUUCCUCAGGGGUGGAGAGAAGUUCAUCUCCAUAUCAAUGGGUAAGGAGGGCUUAUAUGUACCUGAGAGAAGAGGGGAGGGCUGGUUUUGCUUCUGCUGGAGCGGGGAAGAGAGACAGCACGUGACUGCAGUUGUGAACAAUAAACAGAUUUAAAAUUUUAUUUCUC